GUACAUGAAACCCAGCUCUCGUGUAGGUUGCUCAGGACAACUCUCUCAGGGAAAAAGAAGGGACGCAGGAUCUUCUCAGACUUUGUCUCUCCACCCCGCAAGUCACAGACAUCUGAAGAGCAGAGAUUUCCUUCUCUGGCCUGUCCAUCUUCACCCUUUACCACGUAUCUCUCUUCCUUGGCACUUUUGUCUUCUCCCGUGCCUGACACCUUGCCCUUGUGUCGUCUUGUGAUGGGCAAGGCCCAGCCAUCCCAGUUGCCUCGUUUUGAGCCUUCUACACAUGUCCUAACUGAGGCCCUGUAUUUCUACUUAGAGAUUUGGACACUGAGGCU
rnacentral:lncRNA from 1 species